rnacentral:rRNA from 1 species
GUGUCAGCAGCCGCGGUAAUACGUAGGUGACGAGCGUUAUCCGGAUUUACUGGGCGUAAAGCGCUUGCAGGCGGUUGGUCAAGUCCGACGUGAAAUCUCUCGGCUUAACCGGGAGGAGUCGUUGGAGACUGAUCGACUUGAGGCAAUGAGAGGGAUGCGGAAUUCUCGGUGUAGUGGUGGAAUGCGUAGAUAUCGAGAAGAACACCAGUGGCGAAAGCGGCAUCCUGGCAUUGUCCUGACGCUCAUGAGCGAAAGCGUGGGGAGCGAACGGGAUUAGAAACCCUUGUAGUCC